AUCACUUCUCGGCCUUUUGACUAAGAUCAAGUAUAGUAUCUGUUCUUAUCAGUUUAAUAUCUAGUGUUUUAAUUAUAAUAUUAUAAGAGCUACUUUCUUACCUUGUCUUUGGCGUUCUAAAGGACUGCUGUGCCUGGAUGGGUAUUUCUA
rnacentral:snRNA from 1 species